rnacentral:rRNA from 1 species
UACGUAGGGGGCGAGCGUUAUCCGGAAUUAUUGGGCGUAAAGAGUGCGUAGGUGGUUUUUUAAGCGUGGGGUGAAAGGCAUGGGCUUAACUCGUGUUAGCCUCGCGAACUAGGAGACUUGAGUGCAGGAGAGGAAAGCGGAAUUCCUAGUGUAGCGGUGAAAUGCGUAGAUAUUAGGAGGAACACCAGUGGCGAAGGCGGCUUUCUGGACUGUAACUGACACUGAGGCACGAAAGCGUGGGGAGCGAACAGGAUUAGAUACCC